UUCCGUUACGGAGGGGUUGAGAGAUUCCCGCCUCCAGUCGCUCCCUCAGUGGGGGCCGCUCCUCAGCGCCCGCCCCGUACGGGUGCUGUCCCACGUAUUACCCGUUUUGCGCAUGGACGGAUUCGUGGUUAAACGUUCUGCUGAGGAACCUGGGGGUGAUGGCAAGAGGCCCCGGUUAGAGGAGGCGGCGGGCGGCCUGCCCCAUCCCUCACAGCCUAGUCAGCAGAUCCGUGCCCAAGGCCUGAGCCUCGAGUAUCGCCUCCUCUUCGGCCGGGCCGAGGCUGACGAGGUCUUCCAGCAGCUGGAAAAAGAGGUGGAGUACUUCGAAGGUGAACAGACAAAGUUGCGUGUGUUUGGCAAAUGGCAUAACAUCCCCAGGAAGCAGGUAACCUAUGGAGACCCCGAGUUAACGUACACUUACUCAGGUGUCACCUUUUCUCCUAAGCCGUGGAUCCCAGUUCUCAACCGCAUCAGAGAUCGCCUUGUUUUGGAAACGGGACACACUUUUAAUUUUGUUGUUAUUAACAGGUAUAAAGACGGUGAGGACCACAUAGGUGAACAUCGAGAUGAUGAGAAGGAGCUGAUUCCACGUAGCCCUAUUGCAUCAGUGUCCUUUGGAGCCUGCAGAGACUUCGUUUUCAGGCACUGUGAUUCCAGAGGGAAGAAUGCAACACGGCACAUUAAGCCCAUCAGACUGCAGCUAGCCCAUGGCAGCCUGCUGAUGAUAAAGUACCCCACUAACGUGUACUGGUACCACAGCCUGCCCAUCCGCAAGAGAGUGCUUGCUCCAAGAAUCAACCUGACAUUUCGGAAAAUGAUGGUUGUUGACAAAAAAGCGAGAUAGCAAUGAAGCACAUGGACCACAGACCCUGAAUACUGAAGUUUUCCUCCUCGAUAUAGCUGUCAAUUCCUCAGUCAAGCUGUGUUUGAUGAUCCAAGGCAUUAAACUAGAAGAUAGUGUGCUUGGGAAUCCAUUCUGAAAGCCAUUCCCAUCCGUGCUCCAUCCUACUGAAAUGAGGAAAGAGCGUCCAAAGUGUCCACCAGGUCUUAAGGAAUCAAGCAAUGAGCAGGGCUCUGCUGGGAACCUGGAUCCCAGGAAUGCACCUAGAGAAGGAGAAGUGCUGCUUCUAUCAGAUGUACUGUGUAAAUAUCUGAUAGAUUGGCCUUGAAGAAAUCAGCAAAUAUGGACAGUUACUUUUUUUAUUAAGUUCUUUUAUUGCUACUGUACAGUUACAAAAAAUACCCUGAAGUGAAAACGCAACUUCAAACAGCAGUGCGGUGCUGUGACUCUCACACUUUUUUAAAAUAAUACACAAAAUAAAACAAUUAUCCAAACACAGAGAUGUCACCCUAGAGGCCUUAUCUGAUGUUUGUAAGCUCCUGCAUUUAAUAACAACUUUUCCAUCACGAAAGCUUCUAACAAGUAACAAUAUUGGAUGAAACCCAGUGACUUCAAAAGGUGAAGAUGGCAAACAUCUGCAGAAGCCUUUGAGCUUGCAGUAGGCUGAGUGUCCAGGACAGGACUGGGCCUGAGGUUCUGUCACUUGCUUCCUUCCUCACACUGAGGGCUAAACCAAGGCUGCCUGCUCCUUCCCAGCAGCAAAACCUACAACAAAUGCUGACUGUUCAGCCCUCGUUUCUGCAGCCUUUGAGGAAGGUUGCAGAGUGAACCUGCAGCUGAAUGGAAGUGAGCAGGUUAUCAGUGUCACGCAGUCAUGCUUCCAUUCUGAUCAAACUGACCCGACAGCAAGCAGUUCUAUGCAAAGUACUGAAUGUGCAAGCUUGCAACGCUUUGGGGCUGACAAGUUUGAGACUGUUAGCCUGUGGUGUGCAUAUGUUCUGACACAGCUCCAGCAUUACUGCUUCCUGAACAAAAUUACCUGAAGAAGAACUUCACAAAACCUCUAUAAACAGCCCCUACUGAGAACAGGCUUUGCAGAAUAUACACUCUGGCUGGUGGAAGUGUUUGGAAGCUUUCAGGUCAAACUGUAGCCCUGCUGGAACAACACGCUUUACAGAGCUUCUCCUGCACUCCCAUGCUGCUCAGAACAGGGGGUUUUCCUCUCCUCUCACAUUCUGCAAGUCUGUUAGAUUUUAUCUCAAUGGCCAGGACAUUUUUGGCAUUUUGCAACCCUUUUUUUUUUCCCCUCUUGUUGUUUUUCCUUAACUUAACAUAUAAAAGUUAAAACCAUGCUACCAGUAGCCUAACUUAGGGAGGCUUCUCACUAACUGGUAUCUCUGUAGAUUUAUAAAGAGUGUUUUAUGUAUUAUUACUUUGGAACAACGUGAGUGUAGUAAACAGAUUCUUAUGUACAUCUAUUAUUAUUUCAGCUGGUUCUGAGACUUCAUUAAGGAACUCUGAAUGCCUGAGAGCUUCAGGCAGUGAUAUGAAUAUAUGAGGUACAAAGUUACCUAAAAAAAAAACUAUGAAGACAGUAAUGAUUUGAAAACUUAGUUGCUGUUUUACACUGAAAAAUCUAGUCUGAGGAAUGGGUCUUUUUCCUCCACGUUAGAAUUAUAGAAAAGAGCUAAAAACAGUCUACAUAUUUUAUUCCUGAUAACUUAAAAGCAGUCAAAAGUAAUUUUUCCUUCUCCAUCCAUGCUUUGAGAUACUAUUAUUUUUAACACAUUAGACAACCUAGAGCAGCAAAGUACAAUUUAUAUGGAAAUCUGCAUAUCUAAUGCAGAGACACCAGAAUUUGCAGACUGCCUUACCAGACAAGUUGCCCAUUGGUCCAGAUUCAGUUCUGUAUGCUCAAAUUUUACAAGGAUGCUUGGGUUGCUGUUUAUCUCAGCUCACAGUCACAACCAGUAUAAGCUCUAAUGCUCAGCUGCAAGCCUGACAACAUACAUCCAAAAGGCUGAUGACAAAUGACAGUUUUUAGCAUUAAAAUAGGAAGGGCACAUCUAGAACACCAAUUACAAUAGCCUUAAAGUUAAUGGUAUUAAAAGCUGUAGUCCUUACUACCAGCAUUAGUAUUCAACAGUUUGAGUGACCAAGAAAAUUACAAUAUUGACAGCAAGCAAACUCUUCUGUCUUUCCAUGUCACCUGUAGUGCAAAGAUACAGAGCAAUAAGUCAGGUAUCAGCUCUUAAUUGGUAAAAGAAUUUGAUCUUUUCUCCUCGAAAAAGGAAACUGCUGCCUGAAUCAGUAAUUCCAUGACAUAUAGAGAACUGAACUAUUAGGAAGAGGGAAGGAAAUUUUUUGGUCGUGCAUGUUCUGUAAGGAGGCCUUGUUUUAUUCACUGGCUGGGAUAUCAGGAGAAAUCUGCUGUCAUUCUUUUCAUCCCAUCAUCUUGAGACACCUCUCAGAACACAGCUGGCACGCAGUGGACUCAGACAAUGGUAAUCUGUUCAAAUAGGCUCAAGGCACUUUGUUUCUUAAAUCAUUGCCUUUGAUAACAGUAGCUUCCCAACAACUGCUCCUGGGGCUCCCUUGUUCACAAACGUCUGCACUGAAGUGUACAGGAUUCCACAUCUCCCCUUGAAAACAUACAUGUGUUCAGAAUAUGGAUAUCAGCCUUGGAAAGUCUGUUUUGAGAUGUCUGUCUCGGAGCUGUGAUGCUGACAGAAUUGCUACUGAACAGAAUAAAUGCUCUUCUAAUACAAAUACACUUUGGACUGCGCGACGUUAGCAGACCAACUUUGGGUAGCUUAAUUUUGGUACAAAACUACUCCCAGCAAGAGCCAGCUGCUGCCAUGGAGGGAGGGGAAAGUUAAAGGGCCUGUGGUGGAUUAUUUGCAUAACAGACAGGAGGUGCAACGUGGAUCUCAGCAGAGGAAUUUGGUCAGUUUUUGUCCUCCUCCAUCUCUCUUAAUCACUCUUCAGGCCUCAACUCCAAACUCUGGUGCUGUACCCUUGAGUGAACACGCUCAUAGAACAGCAGGUAAGCACUAGAGGCAAGGACCUCCUGCAAACUAGCUUUGCGAACCGUAUCGUCUGAAAUCCAUAGCCACUGAUUGCUGACAGAGAGCGGGCUCUUGGGAGAAGGCGGAGAGCGGCGGUAGGUCACAAAGUGUCCAGAGUGCAUGUCUCCAUGGUGCACAACCACCGCCAUCAGCCGGUACAGGUACACAGGGGGACUGAGAGAGAGGAGAGAAAAGGUCAGCAGACCUCGUGUGUCUCACAUGGACCUAAGGAAGCUCCGCUUGCUUUGUCUUUGCUUGCAAUUUCUUUCCAGAGCAAGUAAUUGUGUCUAAGAGACGUGCUGCAGUUACUGUGUGCAGUUGCUGUGCAGUUACUUUUCGUUAUUCUAAGUCUUUUUGUUAUUUUAAGUGCACUGCAGUGCUGCCUGACUACUGAAGAAAGCAAACCAUUCAUUUUAAAGGUUUAAUGCACCAGACAGCUAUUACAUCUUUCUUAAAAAGAGGUCAAAUUAUGGUGGGUAAUCCAUAGAUAAAAACAGGUAUACUUUAAGGACUUGCUCUACAACUGUCUUCAUAACAAAUGUUUGGCACAGAGCGUUUGCUCGCCUCUCAUUUCCCAAAGUAUUGUGGGAAAUGUGCUCCCCAUGGGAUAAUAACCAACAGUUCUGUAACAGAACGUUGGUCACAGGACUGAAAAGGGAACUUUCUCAAAAAACAAGUCAUCAUCAUAAGCAUCAAGACUGGAUUUAUUAAGUAGAAUCAUGGCAGCUGCAAUUGAGAUUGUUAAGUAGAACUCUUACAGAUUUUUUUUCCCAAUAUUGUAAGAAUUUCUUGCAGGAGUUUAAAGAAACCUAACAACUCUCACAGGAACAGUUAAAAGUCAAAGAAGGGGUAGUAGGAAAAACAGUAUGAAUGAGAAUAUGGCAAUCCAGAAGGAUGACUGCUGCACGCUGAACCAAAGAAAAGAGAUUCCGAGUUCUCCCUGUAAUAAGCUCAACUCCCUUUCUUAGAAGGAGAGAAAUGGAGCCAAAGACAAUCAGCAAGGAAAACAGAAAACAAUGUUCUACACAGGAACUAGGAUAGAUGUUAAGUUCUACAACUACACAGCCUUUUGAUAAAGACAAUAAAGGAAAACACAACUCAAAUGGAUGGAAAUACAAACAGGGUGCACAUCUCACUUACCUGCACUCAGGGAAUGCAGCGAGUGGAAAAGUUCCCGAGGACAUGAAGAGUGGAGAGGAGCAGGCACCAUUCAUAAGGAGAGAUUUGGUACCACAUGUCUGCUCUGCAUCUGCAAAACAAAACAGGCUGGUCAUUUAACUUCAGUGCUGCCACAAGUAUUGCUAACUGCUUCUGUUUCUACAGUGUCCGUCAUCACAGAAUGUGAAGGCAGUUUAUUUUAAUUCAUUACACAUCACAGUCCCUUGAUAUCUAAAGGCAAGAGGUAAACACAGGUAAAUACCUGAAGGUUUUACUGCUAUCCCAUCCCUUGUUCCAGGCUUUGUCUCUUCAGAGCUUUUCUGAUUCAGAUCAUUCUGAGUUGAUUUAUGAACAGGAAUGUGAUAUUUGUAGAUGUCCAUGAUUAGGAACUCAUUGAACUGUACAUGUUCAUGACGUUUCAGAGGAGUCCCUUGGUUUGACCAGCUCAGUCUUUGCAGAUGGAUACACAAACACUGAGGGAGCUUCAAAGUUCCAUACAAAAGAGAAGUCAAAAUACAUUUUAAGUGAAGAGAAACAGCUGCUAAAAGCAUUCUAAUGGACCUAAGUGGUAAGUCCAGUAGAUAAGGAAUUAAGUCACUGAACUGUUGUUCCUUUAUGUGCUAUUUCUGUAUCUAAGCUUACUGCAAUACUAUUUCUGAGUCACAACUGUUGAGAUUUCUAAUAGUGCCAUAUUGCUUGCUAGGCAGUAGGACAGAGCAUGUUAAUUACUGACUGCAAAUGGGGGAAGGAAAAAAAGAAAAAUCACACACAUUCCUAAAAAGCCCAUCUCAUUUUGCUUGAUGAUCUGCAAGGUAGAAAUGAGUACUGGAAUUUGUGUCAGUAUGUUGCUGCCAGACAUUUGCUAAUAUUCCAUAAAUAAUGGCAUCACACAGUAAGAGUACCCAGGAAAAAAGGUCAAGGAGUUAUAAAUAUCUGUCAGACAAAGUCAUGCCGAGGCUGGCCUUUGUCAGUAAGGAAAUUUUAUUAGGAAUGGCCCUGCUGUCCUCUGCAUUAUCUGAUCACAGAACAAGAAACUUGUAAGCACCUCCACUGUAAACAUUUCCAGUUCUUUAGCACUGCGUUCUCUCGUUUAAACCUUCUGUAGUUAGAAUAUGUUAUGUUAUAUAUGUUAGAAUAUGUAUGAACUUUGAAAUGCACAAAUUAUCCUACAAAUAGGCUGUAUAUAUCAACUGCUUUACUGACCAAGGGAAUAAAAAAGCAACACAAGGCAAACAAACUGCACCUAAGCCAAACUCAAGUGUUUUGCUGAAUAGCAGUGGAGUACUCACGUUCUUUAAGCUAAAGAGUUCAGAGCUUUGUUAACUGAGAUUUCAAUGUCUACAAAUACUUGACAAAAGCCUUUUUUUUCUAUUUCAGAAAACAUUAGAGAAGUGCAAUAAGUAGUAGAAGUAGACAUUAAGCAAACGGGUCAAAGAGAUUACUAUUUAAUAGGAUUUAAAAGUGGAUUUGGGGGGUUAGCUCGCCUUACCUUCCCUAGCUUUAAUUGCUUAACAAAUGUUGUUUUCUGGUUUUCUAUGCUCUGUCCAUUCAGAGUCCCUUCCGCCUGAAUCUGAAAUCAAAGGGAAAACAGAGUUGUUUGGUCACUUGUUAUAUCAAAUUACAAACAAUAAUCCUGCUGCAGGUUUGCAUGCUGCAUGCCAAGCUAUCCUUGGGAUGUGAAUUUCUUCUACAAUUUUCCUCUCUCAAGAGCUGUUGGCCCAUUCCAAUGGAUCCAUGUUUUAACAACAGAACUGAGCAGAAACAGCUCUUAGAGAACAAACCUAGUUUACAUGUAGCCAUUUCUGCUAGGUAUCAAACAAUCCGUUUUGGCUCUCUGUCAUCAAAGUACAGGCAAAUAUAAAGUAAUGUUUCAAAAGGGGACUAAUUCUUUUUUUGUUCUUCCAAAUAUGAUCUAAAUACCAAAUAAAGCAGUUGUAAAUUUUAUUAUGUUAACAAUAAAUAAAGCUUCAAAAUACUGUGGGGUAAUAACUCUAUUUUAAGAAUAAUAAAUCCCAGGCAAGCUAGAGAGGCUUUCCUGAAGUCAUGAAGAAAGGAGUAGAAAACUGAAGCCAUAAUUCUGUCAGCAGGCUUGAAACUGAGCUCAAAGGUUAUAUAAAUUACAAUGACAUACUUUAGUGCAGUUGUCACACACAACAUCCUUCACAGAUUCAGAGGAGAUGAAGUGAUGGAGGCAGUGAUCCAGUGUCAUAGGAUGACCCUUAGAACAACAGCAAAAACUAUUAAUUACAGACAUAAGGUAACGGCUACAAUACAAAGGUCUGCACAUUUUGCCCCCAAAUCUACAAUGUUUUAUCAUUUAAAGAUUUUCACAAAGCCAGUGAGACACAGAAACUAUUUCCAGUUGUAAUGUAACCAGAGACAGAGCACUUGAAGGUCAUCUUCUAAGUCUGCCUGUAAUACACAGCCCUCAGGACACAAUCUGCUCUGUUCAAUUUAACCAAAAGGACCAAAUAAUCCACCAGGAGAAAAAGAAAAUUCAGUGCCUGCAGUCACACCCAUCAGGCUAAUUGCUCAUUUCCCUCAUUGCCUUAGUAGUAAGGCCCUGUGCUAACACAGCAGGAUUGCUUAUAAAGGCAACUCCAGUUACUCAUUUAGUAACACCUCAUUUAGGUGCUACUGAGGCCGUAAAAGGAUAACAGUGAAGAUAAAGCCCUGAUGGCAAGGCAGUAGAGUGCUGGCUGGGUCACCCAUCGAAGGCAGAUACAUACCCACACAGCUGCUGGAAUACUCAGGGAGAGACUGUCAAAUGUAUCGUACCUCACAGGACUCUGCAAGAAAAUAUUUCAAAUGCAGUGAGCAACCAAAUCCACCAUGGUCUAAAAAACCAAAUAGGUCAACCAUUACCUCCCAGCAGCCUCAUGCAGAACAAGCAUAUCCGUGCAUGUCUGUUACAUCACUUGUUUUCCCCACAGCUGUAGUGCUAGGAAACACCUGAUGCAAAUGCUGAUACAGGUACUGCUCUGCCUGUUUCUGCUGAAGCUGCCCCUGCUCGCUUCUAAACUUGUUUGCAAGUUUUUGAAAAGUGUUCUUAGAGUUGGGUGUAUGAAUUCCAUCUUUUUUCUGUAUUUUUGCUUCAUUCAGCUUAUCUUCAUCUCCUCACUCUGGAUGACUGCAACCUUAUUUGCCUUUGCAUGUGCAAUCACAAUACUGCAUGCUGAAUGAAUAGCCAGUCCUAAAAUGCAAGUGGAUUUUCAGCAUAUGAUACCUGUGAUAUUGGAUACUAAAUGUAAUUAAACAACUAUUCUACCUGAUAAGAUAGCUGUCAUCCCCAGGAAGUGAAUCACACUUCAUUUUCUUUGGGAUGCUUAGCAAUAUUUUCUUGUUCAGUACAAAAUGCCACAACAAGUAGCUGAAAAAAAUAAUGGCUGAAGCUCUUAUUCCUGCAAACUAUUGAGCUUAAACCAAUUAUGUUGGAAACAAGGGAUGGUGGUUUCACCUCAGAAUGCACUCUGAAUAUCAGGGAUCACUCUUCAUGUGUACCUAAACACAGCACACUUUUGUAUACCUGGUGUUCACAGUGUUUGCAAACCAUGUUGCUGGUCAGCCUUCCAUGAAAAGGAUGCUGAGACUUCCAGUGAUUUGACAUAGGAGGAAGAGAUCCUGAAACACAAAGAUGAAAUUGUCCUUUUAUUUUCAAAACAUCCACGUUCAUCACUGUAAUUCCAACUGUUUGCCCUAUUGUAACAAAAGCUGUAAAACACGGUCUGCCCCACUAACAAAUAAGGAAUGGUAUUUUACAAAUGAGGAGAUGCAUGUCACUCCAAUAAAGACAAAGAUCAGUUGGUCUUAUCCCCUUAAUAAACCCAAUGAUCACACUAUGACUCAAUAUUCAUGUUUCAGGAUGGAAGAAAAAACAUACCUCUGGUUCGGCAGCUAAUUUGCUUUUGGGUUAUUUCUGGCUGCUGCAGAGGAAGAUAAAAGAUGUCAUCAGCCCCACCUUAGAGAAGCUUACAUAUUAAAUAUAUAUUUCAUUCCUGAUUUCAGAACAAAGGUAUGAGUUUAAGUGUCUUUGUGAUUGAAGAAAGCCAAAAACCUGGUGCAGAACAAAGUUCUAAGUGACAAAUAGAGCAGUUCUAAUACAAUGAACAGUUAACCUGUCGAAUUCUGUGCCUGAUAGCACUGAAAUAAAAGCUCAACAAGUUUUCAGACUGUUUGUAUGUAUUUUAGGCAAAAAGAUACAAAUCUUCCAUCAGCAUUAAGCUGAUCAUUAAUGCUGAAGGAUGAGCUAAAACUUCACCUCCAAAUGCACUGUGCUAUAAGCACCCAUUCUGCAGUUGCCCUUUGUUGCAUCAGUCUAACAGAUAAGAGUAAAUGAUUGCACCAACUGCUGCUCUGUGUUAGUUUUGCUAGUUUUUCAGUCCCUGUGUUCAAUGGAUUUAGGAAUGCAAAAGCUCUCAUGCAAGCAGAGUCACAGACUGAGGUACAUUUGCCUUCAAACAAUUUUUUUUUCUUUUCAUUACCUGGGCUACUGAUUCAUUUCUCUCAGAGCAAUAAAGAGCAGCUUUGUAAACCCUAUGCUAAUAUCUUCAGUUUCUUAACAGGCAUUUCAUACUCGACACGCUUAGGAAUCUGGGCAGACUACCAAGUACAUAUGGAAACUUCUGAAAACAAAACAACAUUGGUCAAGUCGUCACCUCCAAUGAAUGCACAUCAAACAAAUGUGUGACACGUGGCUGACGAUCCCGUUCAUCUUCCAAUGAAGAGGUAAGGACAUGAAAUAGUUCAUGAGCAUCCUAUUAAACAGAGGCAUAAGGGUUACAGGAAGCAAAACAAAAAAGAAACCCAUCCAAACAUACACCAGGAGUGCUGAGAGUCCACUGCACUAUGAAAUUAAAGGGGAAAAUCACUGCUUAGAGCUUAUCUUACGUAUUAAUAGUCAUCAAUUGUGCAUCCAAUUCAAGUUUAGUAAGAAGUGUUCUCUAUAAAACUGAAUUUCAUAUAUUUCAUUAUUAAAAACAUUCUGGGCUGGAUAAAUUUAAGAGACACCAAAAUCAUUGAAGAAAAAAAAUGAAUGCACAAAUGCCUGCUUUCCUGAGUUUCAAUAAAACCCAUCACUGAAA